rnacentral:rRNA from 1 species
AUUGAACGCUGGCGGCAGGCCUAACACAUGCAAGUCGAACGAGUGGCGGACGGGUGAGUAAUGCUUGGGAAUCUAGGUUAUGGAGGGGGAUAACUACGGGAAACUGUAGCUAAUACCGCGUACCAUAGGAUGAGCCCUAGUGGGAUUAGGUAGUUGGUGAGGUAAAGGCUCACCAAGCCGACGAUCUCUAGCUGGUCUGAGAGGAUGACCAGCCACACUGGGACUGAGACACGGCCCAGACUCCUACGGGAGGCAGCAGUGGGGAAUAUUGCGCAAUGGGGGAAACCUGACGCAGCCAUGCCGCGUGAGUGAAGAAGGCCUUCGGGUUGUAAAGUUCUUUCGGUAGCGAAGCGUUAACUACAGAAGAAGCACCGGCUAACUACGUGCCAGCAGCCGCGGUAAUAC